AGGUAAGCUACUAAGAGCGAAUGGUGGAUGCCUUGACUGGUAAAGGCGAUGAAGGACGUACUAGACUGCGAUAAGCUACGGGGAGCUGUCAAGAAGCUUUGAUCCGUAGAUUUCCGAAUGGGGCAACCCAAUGUAUAGAGAUAUACAUUACCUAUAUAGGAGCGAACGAGGGGAAUUGAAACAUCUUAGUACCCUCAGGAAAAGAAAUCAAUAGAGAUUGCGUCAGUAGCGGCGAGCGAAAGCGCAAGAGGGCAAACCCAGUGCUUGCACUGGGGGUUGUAGGACUGCAAUGUGCAAGAGCUGAGUUUAGCAGAACAUUCUGGAAAGUAUAGCCAUAGAGGGUGAUAGUCCCGUAUGCGAAAAACAAAGCUUAGCUAGCAGUAUCCUGAGUAGGGCGGGACACGAGGAAUCCUGUCUGAAUCCGGGUCGACCACGAUCCAACCCUAAAUACUAAUACCAGAUCGAUAGUGCACAAGUACCGUGAGGGAAAGGUGAAAAGAACUGAGGUGAUCAGAGUGAAAUAGAACCUGAAACCAUUUGCUUACAAUCAUUCAGAGCACUAUGUAGCAAUACAGUGUGAUGGACUGCCUUUUGCAUAAUGAGCCUGCGAGUUGUGGUGUCUGGCAAGGUUAAGCAAACGCGAAGCCGUAGCGAAAGCGAGUCUGAAUAGGGCGCUUAGUCAGAUGCUGCAGACCCGAAACGAAGUGAUCUAUCCAUGAGCAAGUUGAAGCUAGUGUAAGAACUAGUGGAGGACUGAACCCAUAGGCGUUGAAAAGCCCCGGGAUGACUUGUGGAUAGGGGUGAAAGGCCAAUCAAACUUCGUGAUAGCUGGUUCUCUCCGAAAUAUAUUUAGGUAUAGCGUUGUGUCGUAAUAUAAGGGGGUAGAGCACUGAAUGGGCUAGGGCAUACACCAAUGUACCAAACCCUAUCAAACUCCGAAUACCUUAUAUGUAAUCACAGCAGUCAGGCGGCGAGUGAUAAAAUCCGUCGUCAAGAGGGAAACAACCCAGACUACCAGCUAAGGUCCCUAAAUCUUACUUAAGUGGAAAACGAUGUGAAGUUACUUAAACAACCAGGAGGUUGGCUUAGAAGCAGCCAUCCUUUAAAGAAAGCGUAAUAGCUCACUGGUCUAGUGAUUUUGCGCGGAAAAUAUAACGGGGCUAAAGUAAGUACCGAAGCUGUAGACUU
rnacentral:rRNA from 2 species